GCUAAUUAAACUUUAGAAAAGUAUAUACCUUGAAAGUAUAAAAUUAUGGUUAAAUUCCAUAUUUAGCU
rnacentral:tRNA from 1 species